rnacentral:lncRNA from 1 species
UUUGAUUUUUGGUUAGUUGAUCAUAUUGAUUAAUUAAACAUCAUCUAUAUAUUGGGUUAUGGAAAAACUCAAUUUGGGUAUGACCUUGACUAAUAAAAAAAUUAAUUUUGUGGUGAAAAGAGAAGAGAAGUUGUGGCUGUCAUGCAUGAGUGCAACAUUGAAUGUGGCCCAAAACAUUGAUUGAAGUUAUUAAAUAUAUCUAAAGAUGGAUUCUCUUCUUCCUCUAAAUACUCUAUUCUGUCCCCUUUUCUUUUCUUUUUUUUUUCUCUUUCCUUAUUUGGGAUUGGUUUGAAUUUCAAAACCCUAACCUACCUCUUUGUUUCUCUUUUUAUUAUUACAUGUUAUGUUAAGGUUUUGUUUGGUUGUUGUUUUAAUUAAUGUAUUGUGUGUGUUCUUUAAGAAUUUAUUGACCCCAAAAAUUACACCAUAUAAUUUGCUGCCAACCCAUGUAAGUUUUUCUACCCUCUUUAGUCCUUUGUAAAUACCAAAAGUACUUUUGGGAGAUUUAAUUGCUUUGGUGAGAGCAUUUAACUAGGGAGGAAAUUAAAAUGAAGAUAGUUUUAAUUUGGUUAUUUAAUGUUUUAGGAUUAUUGUAAUUCAAUCAUGUGGAGUGAGGAUUUGAUAGUUCCUCUAUUCAGUUAUAUAGUCAACUUUGAUUUGCAUGUUUGGUUGUCGAUAAAGUGUUUUGGUUAUUGUAUUUUUCGAAAUGGCUCGAGUGAAAUUAAUGAUUUCAAGAUGUCUCGAUACUUGGAGGAGUUACUUAUGUGUUACUCAAGUUAUGUUUAGGUCAAUUUUGUUUUAUGUUUUUGUUAUAAUAGAUAUGUAAAAUAGACGUUCGUAAGGACCAUUCUAGUCAAUUAUGCAUGUUCAUUGUUACUACUUUGAGUUAUUUGGUAAUUAUACUACUUUUACUAUUUAUCAAAAGCUCGUACGUAUAUCGCUCAAAAGCUUAUGCGCUACCUAUUAGACACUUUUAAAAUGACUAACUAAUGUUGGAUUGCAGGGUUUGUAUACCUUCUGGGUUGUUUGAGAGAAGGAUCAAAAUUGGGUGUUUCUCUCAUCCCUUUAUAAGUUAGUGUUAAAUAAUUUUCACUUUCAAUUCGUACAUUUAUCCAUUAACAUCGUCUUUCCUACCUUCUUUCUUCCUAUUUUCCUAACUUUAAGACUAUGUAAUAACUCUCCACGCACCAUUAAAAUUCACUUGAUCAAUGUAUUCUAACAGCCCCAAAAGACAUUAACUCAUUUCCACUAUGAUUAGUUAGAUAAGUCAUAAGUGGUAAAAUUUCGAAAGACGUGCUUAAAACAAAUGGGCAAGGCAAAAAGAAAAUGGUACACUAAUUGUAUAGUCUUGGAAUGUAAAUAAAAGAGG